rnacentral:rRNA from 1 species
AGAGUUUGAUCAUGGCUCAGGAUGAACGCUAGCUACAGGCUUAACACAUGCAAGUCGAGGGGCAGCAUGUUGGUUGCUUGCAACCAACGAUGGCGACCGGCGCACGGGUGAGUAACGCGUAUCCAACCUACCCUUGUCCAUCGGAUAACCCGUCGAAAGGCGGCCUAACACGAUAUGCGGUUCACAGCAGGCAUCUAACGUGAACGAAAUGUGAAGGAGAAGGAUGGGGAUGCGUCUGAUUAGCUUGUUGGCGGGGUAACGCCACAAGGCUACGAUCAGUAGGGGUUCUGGAGAGGAAGUCCCCCANAUUGGAACUGAGACACGGUCCAAACUCCGUACGGGAGGCA